GAUGAACGCUAGCGGGAGGCCUAACACAUGCAAGCCGAGCGGUAGAGUUUCUUCGGAAACUUGAGAGCGGCGCACGGGUGCGUAACACGUGUGCAACCUACCUUUAUCUGGGGGAUAGCCUUUCGAAAGGAAGAUUAAUACCCCAUAAUAUAAUGAUUGGCAUCAAUUAUUAUUGAAAACUCCGGUGGAUAGAGAUGGGCACGCGCAAGAUUAGAUAGUUGGUGAGGCAACGGCUCACCAAGUCAAUGAUCUUUAGGGGUCCUGAGAGGGAGAUCCCCCACACUGGUACUGAGACACGGACCAGACUCCUACGGGAGGCAGCAGUGAGGAAUAUUAGACAAUGGGUGAGAGCCUGAUCCAGCCAUCCCGGGUGAAGGAGGACGGUCCUAUGGAUAGUAAACUUCUUUUGUACAGGGAUAAACCUACCCUCGUGAGGGUAGCUGAAGGUACUGAACGAAUAAGCACCGGCUAACUCCGUG
rnacentral:rRNA from 1 species